AGUGGGCUCUGUGCUGACAGGCUGACAGCAGCAAGCCGGAUGUGGGGCUCCAACUCCUGAACUGGGAGAUCAAGACCUGAGUCAGAGUCUGGCACUCAACCAACCGAGCUACCCAGUAAAUCUGGCCAUUAAACACAUAGGAAGAUACCUUGAUGCUUUACCCAAACAAGAAGACAAAUUUGCUUAAAAACAAAUACCGUGUGGCAUUUAGAAGCCUACUCAUACUGGCUGGAAGAGAAGGAAACAGUGGUAAAUAGCUAAGCUUAAAUCUAAGGAAUCCAGAAGGAUAUACAUCAAAAUGCAAAGACCUCCGCCAGGGCAAGAGCCAGGGAGUGGCUCACCACCCAUCAGCACUUGACCCUUCUGAAGAACGAACUAGCACCGGAGAAGGAAAGAGAAGAAACACUGUGUUGUGGAUGCCAGAGAAAACCAGGAUGUAAUAGACAUUGGGGGGAAAACAUUAUUAAGGAAUUUCUAAAGUUCACACUUCUUAAUUAGCUAGACAGUUUUUGUUUGUUUGUUAGUUUUUUGAGCCAUACUUUGGAAAAAUACCAAGACCUCACUAAAACCACAGUUCUGUGUAGAGUCAAAACUAGAAAUUAAUGUGAGAUGGUGAAAAGAGGAGAUAGUAACUUAAGGCCAAAAUGUGACUCUUUAGUAAUGAAUUUUGGAAGCACUACCUAUGCAGACAGGAGCCCAUGAGCAGAGACUGCAAUAGAGGCUAUGGAUGGUGAAACUUUCUAUGCACCAGACUUACAGGAACCCUGAAACACUCAGUAUAGCUACUGCAGCCAAACACAAGCAGCAGGGGAGAGAGAAGUUAGCACUGGACAGGGAUCCAGGUAUAUGGGAUUCAGGAACAUCCUGGCUCUGCCAUCAAUUAAGGUGACCUAAAUAAGUCACUUCAAAAAAAAUAAAUAAAAUAAGUCACUUCA